rnacentral:rRNA from 1 species
CGGCGAGUGAACAGGGAUGAGCCCAGCACCGAAGUCUGUGUCCGUUUGGGCGCUAGACAAUGUGGUGUUUAGGUCGUUCCGCAGAGGUACUGCUCCACCCCAAGUCCAGCAAUGAGUACGGUGGUACAGACUUGGCCCACAGAGGGUGAAAGGCCCGUGGGGGUGGAGGUCAGGUAUGUCGGUACCUCUCUGGAUAGACCUUGGAGUCGGGUUGUUUGUGAAUGCAGCCCGAAGUGGGUGGUAAACUCCAUCCAAGGCUAAAUAUCAACACGAGUCCGAUAGCGAACAAGUACCGUGAGGGAAAGUUGAAAAGUACUUUGAAGAGAGAGUAAACAGUACGUGAAACCGCUCAGAGGUAAACGGGUGGAGUUGAACUGCAAGCACUGAGAAUUAGCAGGAGUGAGUGUGGCUUCGGCUUGGUUUCGGUUGAGCUCGGAGGUCCGUGCUGUAGCGGGCCAUUGCCUACUGUUGGUGAUGGUGCGUAUACGCUUAUCAAGUGUUGUGCGCCUCCGAUGCCUCGAAUCGGCUUGCUCUUGUACUUCUCAGUGUGUUCACCACGACCGACACUGCUGCCUGGCUGCUGUGGUCAAACCAGUCGCAUGUUGCUCUUUGUAGCUUAAUGCGGUUGGGAUGGCAGGUGGCUCGUUAUUUCAACGCGUGUGGCUUGCUGCGCGUGUUGAGUUUCGAGUGUUACAAGCCGAUCGUAGUGGUUCUGUGCAGUGUGUCGGAGACAGCGGCUUGUGCGUGCGCGUGCCAGUUCGGUCGGCGGAUUCGGGUGUGGUUGUUGUGUUGCCUGUUCAACCAGGCCCAGCAAUGGCUCGGAAUCGUUCGGCUGGCGGUUGCGCGUGCGCAUCUCGCGGGGCCUACAGUCUGUGGUGUAGUGGUAGGCUAUCCACCCGACCCGUCUUGAAACACGGACCAAGGA